rnacentral:lncRNA from 1 species
CCCAUUUUAUACGGUACUUGUAAUUCUGUCACACGUAAUAUUUCCUAGUCUCCUAAUUCCCACAGUGACACUCUGUGUACAUUAAAUGGAUAUUAACAGAUAAAAGUUUCUCACCCAUUUAGACAGGCCAUAUUAGAGCUGCAAGAUGAAAACACCAGUUGGCUAACUGCAAUUUUUUUUCUCACCUCACCCCAUUACCUCAGUCAAUAUCUAAUCAUCCUCUUCCUCCUUCUGAUGUUUCUAUUGAUUCUCCAGACAAGUUUUACCAUGCUCCUUAGCAUGUGUAUUAAUGAUCUACUGCUUUCUUUCUUUCUGUCUGUUUCACAUGCAAACAUCUGCCGUGCUGCUGGGUCAAAGACACUUUGUAAAGGCUUCUUUUUGCCUGCUCCUCCAACAGCGUGCUGACAUUUUAGCAUUAGUGGCUCUGUCAGAGUGUGAAAGAAUCAACCCUUACCGUCCCCCCAUAACACCCCAGGAUAGAACUCUGUCUGCGAGGUAUGUGUGUUUUGUGGUUUCUCUGCACCAAGCAACGUUGUUUUUCAUUCAGUCCUGUUACCUGCUGUGUGGCACUGGGAAUGAAAGCACCGUGUAGACUUUCAGCUCCUCUAAAUCCACUCAAGAUGACUCUGUAACAAGAGUGUCAAAGUUCAGAUCAGACAAUAUUCUUGCUCGGUCUUUUCACAAAACCACUGUGCUGUCCAAUUGCAUCACUUUGCAGCCAUCCGUGCUCCAUCACCCAGCCUAG